AGAGGUGGGAUAGCCAUUACACCCAGGUCACCAUCUGAAACAUCCAGCCAUCUCCAGUCACCACAUGAAGCAUCUUCAAAUCCACAGCUUUCCACCUUCAUUUACCGGAAGUCAGCGAUAAACUGCAUCCAACACUCACCGGUCUGUUACCUGAAACACUGAAGCUGUGAAAGAAAAUUAAGAAUCAAGAGCCAGAAGACGUCAUUGAUUAGCUGCACAUAAUAGUGACCAGUCUGUUACCUGAAAAGCUGAAGCUGUGAAAGAAUAUUUGGAAC